GCCCGCCCAUAGCUCCUUCGACGGCGCCGCCUAGGAACGCGGAGAAAAUAUGACAAAGGAACGGCCAAAAAUAAAAAGAAAGACCUUUCUUUUGAAAAAACAAACAAAAAAAGGAAUGCAACACGAGGACUUCCCAGGAGGUCACCCAUCCUAGUACUACUCUCGCCCAAGCACGCUUAACUUCAAAGUUCUGAUGGGAUCCGGUGCUUUAGUGCUGGUAUGAUCGCAUCCGACAUACCGUGCGUUCUCCUCCCCUUUAUGCCCGCGCCUCCGUGUACGGCCCGCCCAUAGCUCCUUCGACGGCGCCGCCUAGGAACGCGGAGAAAAUAUGACAAAGGAACGGCCAAAAAUAAAAAGAAAGACCUUUCUUUUGAAAAAACAAACAAAAAAAGGAAUGCAACACGAGGACUUCCCAGGAGGUCACCCAUCCUAGUACUACUGUCGCCCAAGCACGCUUAAGUUCGGAGUUCUGAUGGGAUCCGGUGCUUUAGUGCUGGUAUGAUCGCAUCCGACAUGCCGUGCGUUCUCCUCCCCUUUAUGCCCGCGCCUCCGUGUACGGCCCGCCCAUAGCUCCUUCGUCGGCGCCGCCUAGGAACGCGGAGAAAAUAUGACAAAGGAACGGCCAAAAAUAAAAAGAAAGACCUUUCUUUUGAAAAAACAAACGCCUCCGUGUACGGCCCGCCCAUAGCUCCUUCGACGGCGCCGCCUAGGAACGCGGAGAAAAUAUGACAAAGGAACGGCCAAAAAUAAAAAGAAAGACCUUUCUUUUGAAAAAACAAACAAAAAAAAGGAAUGCAACACGAGGACUUCCCAGGAGGUCACCCAUCCUAGUACUACUCUCGCCCAAGCACGCUUAACUUCGGAGUUCUGAUGGGAUCCGGUGCUUUAGUGCUGGUAUGAUCGCAUCCGACAUACCGUGCGUUCUCCUCCCCUUUAUGCCCGCCCCUCCGUGUACGGCCCGCCCAUAGCUCUUUCGACGGCGCCGCCUAGGAACGCGGAGAAAAUAUGACAAAGGAACGGCCAAAAAUAAAAAGAAAGACCUUUCUUUUGAAAAAACAAACGCCUCCGUGUACGGCCCGCCCAUAGCUCCUUCGACGGCGCCGCCUAGGAACGCGGAGAAAAUAUGACAAAGGAACGGCCAAAAAUAAAAAGAAAGACCUUUCUUUUGAAAAAACAAACAAAAAAAAGGAAUGCAACACGAGGACUUCCCAGGAGGUCACCCAUCCUAGUACUACUCUCGCCCAAGCACGCUUAACUUCGGAGUUCUGAUGGGAUCCGGUGCUUUAGUGCUGGUAUGAUCGCAUCCGACAUACCGUGCGUUCUCCUCCCCUUUAUGCCCGCGCCUCCGUGUACGGCCCGCCCAUAGCUCCUUCGACGGCGCCGCCUAGGAACGCGGAGAAAAUAUGACAAAGGAACGGCCAAAAAUAAAAAGAAAGACCUUUCUUUUGAAAAAACAAACAAAAAAAAGGAAUGCAACACGAGGACUUCCCAGGAGGUCACCCAUCCUAGUACUACUCUCGCCCAAGCACGCUUAACUUCGGAGUUCUGAUGGGAUCCGGUGCUUUAGUGCUGGUAUGAUCGCAUCCGACAUACCGUGCGUUCUCCUCCCCUUUAUGCCCGCGCCUCCGUGUACGGCCCGCCCAUAGCUCCUUCGACGGCGCCGCCUAGGAACGCGGAGAAAAUAUGACAAAGGAACGGGCAAAAAUAAAAAGAAAGACCUUUCUUUUGAAAAAACAAACAAAAAAAAGGAAUGCAACACGAGGACUUCCCAGGAGGUCACCCAUCCUAGUACUACUCUCGCCCAAGCACGCUUAACUUCGGAGUUCUGAUGGGAUCCGGUGCUUUAGUGCUGGUAUGAUCGCAUCCGACAUACCGUGCGUUCUCCUCCCCUUUAUGCCCGCGCCUCCGUGUACGGGCCGUCCAUAGCUCCUUCGACGGCGCCGCCUAUGAACGCGGAGAAAAUAUGACAAAGGAACGGCCAACAAUCAUACGAAAGACCUUUCUUUUGAAAAAACAAACAAAAAAAAGGAAUGCGACACGAGGACUUCCCAGGAGGUCACCCAUCCUAGUACUACUCUCGCCCAAGCACGCUUAACUUCGGAGUUCUGAUGGGAUCCGGUGCUUUAGUGCUAGUAUGAUCGCAUUCGACAUACCGUGCGUUCUCCUCCCCUUUAUGCCCGCGCCUCCGUGUACGGCCCGCCCAUAGCUCCUUCGACGGCGCCGCCUAGGAACGCGGAGAAAAUAUGACAAAGGAACGGCCAAAAAUAAAAAGAAAGACCUUUCUUUUGAAAAAACAAACAAAUAAAAGGAAUGCAACACGAGGACUUCCCAGGAGGUCACCCAUCCUAGUACUACUCUCGCCCAAGCACGCUUAACUUCGGAGUUCUGAUGGGAUCCGGUGCUUUAGUGCUGGUAUGAUCGCAUCCGACAUACCGUGCGUUCUCCUCCCCUUUAUGCCCGCGCCUCCGUGUACGGCCCGCCCAUAGCUCCUUCGACGGCGCCGCCUAGGAACGCGGAGAAAAUAUGACAAAGGAACGGCCAAAAAUAAAAAGAAAGACCUUUCUUUUGAAAAAACAAACGCCUCCGUGUACGGCCCGCCCAUAGCUCCUUCGACGGCGCCGCCUAGGAACGCGGAGAAAAUAUGACAAAGGAACGGCCAAAAAUAAAAAGAAAGACCUUUCUUUUGAAAAAACAAACAAAAAAAAGGAAUGCAACACGAGGACUUCCCAGGAGGUCACCCAUCCUAGUACUACUCUCGCCCAAGCACGCUUAACUUCGGAGUUCUGAUGGGAUCCGGUGCUUUAGUGCUGGUAUGAUCGCAUCCGACAUACCGUGCGUUCUCCUCCCCUUUAUGCCCGCGCCUCCGUGUACGGCCCGCCCAUAGCUCCUUCGACGGCGCCGCCUAGGAACGCGGAGAAAAUAUGACAAAGGAACGGCCAAAAAUAAAAAGAAAGACCUUUCUUUUGAAAAAACAAACAAAUAAAAGGAAUGCAACACGAGGACUUCCCAGGAGGUCACCCAUCCUAGUACUACUCUCGCCCAAGCACGCUUAACUUCGGAGUUCUGAUGGGAUCCGGUGCUUUAGUGCUGGUAUGAUCGCAUCCGACAUACCGUGCGUUCUCCUCCCCUUUAUGCCCGCGCCUCCGUGUACGGCCCGCCCAUAGCUCCUUCGACGGCGCCGCCUAGGAACGCGGAGAAAAUAUGACAAAGGAACGGCCAAAAAUAAAAAGAAAGACCUUUCUUUUGAAAAAACAAACAAAUAAAAGGAAUGCAACACGAGGACUUCCCAGGAGGUCACCCAUCCUAGUACUACUCUCGCCCAAGCACGCUUAACUUCGGAGUUCUGAUGGGAUCCGGUGCUUUAGUGCUGGUAUGAUCGCAUCCGACAUACCGUGCGUUCUCCUCCCCUUUAUGCCCGCGCCUCCGUGUACGGCCCGCCCAUAGCUCCUUCGACGGCGCCGCCUUGGAACGCGGAGAAAAUAUGACAAAGGAACGGCCAAAAAUAAAAAGAAAGACCUUUCUUUUGAAAAAACAAACAAAUAAAAGGAAUGCAACACGAGGACUUCCCAGGAGGUCACCCAUCCUAGUACUACUCUCGCCCAAGCACGCUUAACUUCGGAGUUCUGAUGGGAUCCGGUGCUUUAGUGCUGGUAUGAUCGCAUCCGACAUACCGUGCGUUCUCCUCCCCUUUAUGCCCGCGCCUCCGUGUACGGCCCGCCCAUAGCUCCUUCGACGGCGCCGCCUAGGAACGCGGAGAAAAUAUGACAAAGGAACGGCCAAAAAUAAAAAGAAAGACCUUUCUUUUGAAAAAACAAACAAAUAAAAGGAAUGCAACACGAGGACUUCCCAGGAGGUCACCCAUCCUAGUACUACUCUCGCCCAAGCACGCUUAACUUCGGAGUUCUGAUGGGAUCCGGUGCUUUAGUGCUGGUAUGAUCGCAUUCGACAUACCGUGCGUUCUCCUCCCCUUUAUGCCCGCGCCUCCGUGUACGGGCCGCCCAUAGCUCCUUCGACGGCGCCGCCUAGGAACGCGGAGAAAAUAUGACAAAGGAACGGCCAAAAAUAAAAAGAAAGACCUGUUCUUUUGAAAAAACAAACUAAAAAAAGGAAUGCAGCACGAGGACUUCCCAGGAGGUCACCCAUCCUAAUACUACUCUCGCCCAAGCACGCUUAACUUCGGAGUUCUGAUGGGAUCCGGAGCUUUAGUGUUGGUAUGAUCGCAUCCGACAUACCGUGCGUUCUCCUCCCCUUUAUGCACCCGCCUCCGUGUACGGCCCGCCCAUAGCUCCUUCGACGGCGCCGCCUAGGAACGCGGAGAAAAUAUGACAAAGGAACGGCCAAAAAUAAAAAGAAAGACCUUUCUUUUGAAAAAACAAACAAAAAAAAGGAAUGCAACACGAGGACUUCCCAGGAGGUCACCCAUCCUAGUACUACUCUCGCCCAAGCACGCUUAACUUCGGAGUUCUGAUGGGAUCCGGUGCUUUAGUGCUGGUAUGAUCGCAUCCGACAUACCGUGCGUUCUCCUCCCCUUUAUGCCCGCGCCUCCGUGUACGGCCCGCCCAUAGCUCCUUCGACGGCGCCGCCUAGGAACGCGGAGAAAAUAUGACAAAGGAACGGCCAAAAAUAAAAAGAAAGACCUUUCUUUUGAAAAAACAAACAAAAAAAAGGAAUGCAACACGAGGACUUCCCAGGAGGUCACCCAUCCUAGUACUACUCUCGCCCAAGCACGCUUAACUUCGGAGUUCUGAUGGGAUCCGGUGCUUUAGUGCUGGUAUGAUCGCAUCCGACAUACCGUGCGUUCUCCUCCCCUUUAUGCCCGCGCCUCCGUGUACGGCCCGCCCAUAGCUCCUUCGACGGCGCCGCCUAGGAACGCGGAGAAAAUAUGACAAAGGAACGGCCAAAAAUAAAAAGAAAGACCUUUCUUUUGAAAAAACAAACAAAUAAAAGGAAUGCAACACGAGGACUUCCCAGGAGGUCACCCAUCCUAGUACUACUCUCGCCCAAGCACGCUUAACUUCGGAGUUCUGAUGGGAUCCGGUGCUUUAGUGCUGGUAUGAUCGCAUCCGACAUACCGUGCGUUCUCCUCCCCUUUAUGCCCGCGCCUCCGUGUACGGCCCGCCCAUAGCUCCUUCGACGGCGCCGCCUAGGAACGCGGAGAAAAUAUGACAAAGGAACGGCCAAAAAUAAAAAGAAAGACCUUUCUUUUGAAAAAACAAACGCCUCCGUGUACGGCCCGCCCAUAGCUCCUUCGACGGCGCCGCCUAGGAACGCGGAGAAAAUAUGACAAAGGAACGGCCAAAAAUAAAAAGAAAGACCUUUCUUUUGAAAAAACAAACAAAAAAAAGGAAUGCAACACGAGGACUUCCCAGGAGGUCACCCAUCCUAGUACUACUCUCGCCCAAGCACGCUUAACUUCGGAGUUCUGAUGGGAUCCGGUGCUUUAGUGCUGGUAUGAUCGCAUCCGACAUACCGAGCGUUCUCCUCCCCUUUAUGCCCGCGCCUCCGUGUACGGCCCGCCCAUAGCUCCUUCGACGGCGCCGCCUAGGAACGCGGAGAAAAUAUGACAAAGGAACGGCCAAAAAUAAAAAGAAAGACCUUUCUUUUGAAAAAACAAACGCCUCCGUGUACGGCCCGCCCAUAGCUCCUUCGACGGCGCCGCCUAGGAACGCGGAGAAAAUAUGACAAAGGAACGGCCAAAAAUAAAAAGAAAGACCUUUCUUUUGAAAAAACAAACAAAAAAAAGGAAUGCAACACGAGGACUUCCCAGGAGGUCACCCAUCCUAGUACUACUCUCGCCCAAGCACGCUUAACUUCGGAGUUCUGAUGGGAUCCGGUGCUUUAGUGCUGGUAUGAUCGCAUCCGACAUACCGUGCGUUCUCCUCCCCUUUAUGCCCGCGCCUCCGUGUACGGCCCGCCCAUAGCUCCUUCGACGGCGCCGCCUAGGAACGCGGAGAAAAUAUGACAAAGGAACGGCCAAAAAUAAAAAGAAAGACCUUUCUUUUGAAAAAACAAACACCUAAAAGGAAUGCAACACGAGGACUUCCCAGGAGGUCACCCGUCAUCGUAGUACUCUCGCCCAAGCACGCUUAGCUUCGGAGUUCUGAUGAGAUCCGGUGCUUUAGUGCUGGUAUGAUCGCAUCCGACAUACCGUGAGUUCUCCUCCCCUUUAUGCCCGUGCCUCCAUGUACCGCCCGCCCAUAGCUCCUUCGACGGGACGCUCCUAGGAACGCGGAGAAAAUAUUACAAAGGAGCGCCCAAAAAUAAAAAGAAAGACCUUUCUUUUGAAAAAACAAACGCCUCCGUGUACGGCCCGCCCAUAGCUCCUUCGACGGCGCCGCCUAGGAACGCGGAGAAAAUAUGACAAAGGAACGGCCAAAAAUAAAAAGAAAGACCUUUCUUUUGAAAAAACAAACAAAAAAAAGGAAUGCAACACGCGGACUUCCCAGGAGGUCACCCAUCCUAGUACUACUCUCGCCCAAGCACGCUUAAGUUCGGAGUUCUGAUGGGAUCCGGUUCUUUAGUGCUGGCAUGCUCGCAUCAGGCAUGCCGCGCGUUCUCCUCCCCGGUAGGCACGCAUCUUAGUGUACGUCUCGCCCAUAGCUCCUUCGUUGGGAGCUCCUAGGAGCUCGGAGAAAAUAUGGCAAAGGAACGGCCAUAAAUAAAAAGAAAGACCUUUCUUCUGAAAAAACAAACGCCUCCGUGUACGGCCCGCCCAUAGCUCCUUCGACGGCGCCGCCUAGGAACGCGGAGAAAAUAUGACAAAGGAACGGCCAAAAAUAAAAAGAAAGACCUUUCUUUUGAAAAAACAAACAAAUAAAAGGAAUGCAACACGAGGACUUCCCAGGAGGUCACCCAUCCUAGUACUACUCUCGCCCAAGCACGCUUAACUUCGGAGUUCUGAUGGGAUCCGGUGCUUUAGUGCUGGUAUGAUCGCAUCCGACAUACCGUGCGUUCUCCUCCCCUUUAUGCCCGCGCCUCCGUGUACGGCCCGCCCAUAGCUCCUUCGACGGCGCCGCCUAGGAACGCGGAGAAGGAGUAUGACAAAGGAACGGCCAAAAAUAAAAAGAAAGACCUUUCUUUUGAAAAAACAAACAAAUAAAAGGAAUGCAACACGAGGACUUCCCAGGAGGUCACCCAUCCUAGUACUACUCUCGCCCAAGCACGCUUAACUUCGGAGUUCUGAUGGGAUCCGGUGCUUUAGUGCUGGUAUGAUCGCAUUCGACAUACCGGGCGUACUCCUCCCCUUUAUGCCCGCGCCUCCGUGUACGGCCCGCCCAUAGCUCCUUCGACGGCGCCGCCUAGGAACGCGGAGAAAAUAUGACAAAGGAACGGCCAAAAAUAAAAAGAAAGACCUUUCUUUUGAAAAAACAAACGAAUCCGAGGAAUGCAAGACGAGGACUUCCCAGGAGGUCACCCAUCCUAGUACUACUCUCGCCCAAGCACGCUUAAGUUCGGAGUUCUGAUGGGAUCCGGUGCUUUAGUGCUGGUAUGAUCGCGUCCGACGUACCGUGCGUUCUCCUCCCCUUGAUGCCCGUGCCUCCGUGUACGGCCCGCCCAUAGCUCCUUCGACGGCGCCGUCNNNNNNNNNNNNNNNNNNNNNNNNNNNNNNNNNNNNNNNNNNNNNNNNNNNNNNNNNNNNNNNNNNNNNNNNNNNNNNNNNNNNNNNNNNNNNNNNNNNNAACACGAGGACUUCCCAAGAGGUCACCCAUCCUAGUACUACUCUCGCCCAAGCACGCUUAACUUCGGAGUUCUGAUGGGAUCCGGUGCUUUAGUGCUGGUAUGAUCGCAUCCGACAUACCGUGCGUUCUCCUCCCCUUUAUGCCCGCGCCUCCGUGUACGGCCCGCCCAUAGCUCCUUCGACGGCGCCGCCUAGGAACGCGGAGAAAAUAUGACAAAGGAACGGCCAAAAAUAAAAAGAAAGACCUUUCUUUUGAAAAAACAAACAAAAAAAAGGAAUGCAACACGAGGACUUCCCAGGAGGUCACCCAUCCUAGUACUACUCUCGCCCAAGCACGCUUAACUUCGGAGUUCUGAUGGGAUCCGGUGCUUUAGUGCUGGUAUGAUCGCAUCCGACAUACCGUGCGUUCUCCUCCCCUUUAUGCCCGCGCCUCCGUGUACGGCCCGCCCAUAGCUCCUUCGACGGCGCCGCCUAGGAACGCGGAGAAAAUAUGACAAAGGAACGGCCAAAAAUAAAAAGAAAGACCUUUCUUUUGAAAAAACAAACAAAAAAAAGGAAUGCAACACGAGGACUUCCCAGGAGGUCACCCAUCCUAGUACUACUCUCGCCCAAGCACGCUUAACUUCGGAGUUCUGAUGGGAUCCGGUGCUUUAGUGCUGGUAUGAUCGCAUCCGACAUACCAUGCGUUCUCCUCCCCUUUAUGCCCGCGCCUCCGUGUACGGCCCGCCCAUAGCUCCUUCGACGGCGCCGCCUAGGAACGCGGAGAAAAUAUGACAAAGGAAUGGCCAAAAAUAAAAAGAAAGACCUUUCUUUUGAAAAAACAAACGCCUCCGUGUACGGCCCGCCCAUAGCUCCAUCGACGGCGCCGCCUAGGAACGCGGAGAAAAUAUGACAAAGGAACGGCCAAAAAUAAAAAGAAAGACCUUUCUUUUGAAAAAAACAAACAAAAAAAAGGAAUGCAACGCGAGGACUUCCCAGGAGGUCACCCAUCCUAGUACUACUCUCGCCCAAGCACGCUUAACUUCGGAGUUCUGAUGGGAUCCGGUGCUUUAGUGCUGGUAUGAUCGCAUCCGACAUACCGUGCGUUC
rnacentral:lncRNA from 1 species